rnacentral:rRNA from 1 species
CCUACGGGAGGCUGCAGUGGGGAAUAUUGGACAAUGGGGGGAACCCUGAUCCAGCCAUGCCGCGUGUGUGAAGAAGGCCCUCGGGUUGUAAAGCACUUUCAGUGAGGAAGAACGCCUGGUGGUUAAUACCCAUCAGGAAAGACAUCACUCACAGAAGAAGCACCGGCUAACUCCGUGCCAGCAGCCGCGGUAAUACGGAGGGUGCGAGCGUUAAUCGGAAUUACUGGGCGUAAAGCGCGCGUAGGUGGCUUGAUAAGCCGGUUGUGAAAGCCCCGGGCUCAACCUGGGAACGGCAUCCGGAACUGUCAAGCUAGAGUGCAGGAGAGGAAGGUAGAAUUCCCGGUGUAGCGGUGAAAUGCGUAGAGAUCGGGAGGAAUACCAGUGGCGAAGGCAGCCUUCUGGACUGACACUGACACUGAGGUGCGAAAGCGUGGGUAGCAAACAGGAUUAGAUACCCGAGUAGUC